rnacentral:rRNA from 1 species
UACGGGGGGGGCAAGCGUUGUUCGGAAUUACUGGGCGUAAAGGGCGCGUAGGCGGCCUGCUAAGUCGGACGUGAAAUCCCUCGGCUCAACCGGGGAACUGCGUCCGAUACUGGUGGGCUCGAAUCCGGGAGAGGGAUGUGGAAUUCCAGGUGUAGCGGUGAAAUGCGUAGAUAUCUGGAGGAACACCGGUGGCGAAGGCGGUUCUCUGGGCCUUACCUGACGCUGAGGAGCGAAAGCGUGGGGAGCGAACAGG